rnacentral:rRNA from 1 species
GAUGAACGCUGACAGAAUGCUUAACACAUGCAAGUCUUUGGCGAAGCUGUGCUUGCACAGCCUAGCCAAGGCGGACGGGUGAGUAACGCGUAAGGAACUUGCCCUGCAGUCAGGGAUAACAGACGGAAACGACUGAUAAGACCUGGUAAAGUCAGGCGGACUCAUGUCCAGCCUGAUGAAAAGAGAUGCUGCAGGAGAGCCUUGCGUCCUAUUAGCUUGUUGGUGGGGUAACGGCCCACCAAGGCGAUGAUAGGUAGCCGGCCUGAGGGGGUGGACGGCCACAAGGGGAAGGAGAGACGGCCCUUACUCCUACGGGAGGCAGCAGUGGGGAAUAUUGGACGAGGGGGGCAACCCUGAUCCAGCAAUUCUGUGUGCACGAUGAAGGUUUUCGGAUUGUAAAGUGCUUUCAGCAGGGAAGAAAAAAAUGACGGUACCUGCAGAAGAAGCGACGGCUAAAUACGUG